CGAGAUAGCUCAGUCGGUAGAGCAACUGAUUCGUAAUCAGUAGGUCGGGUGUUCGAUUCACCUUCUCGG
rnacentral:tRNA from 1 species